AGUGAACGCUGGCGGUAGGCCUAACACAUGCAAGUCGAACGGCAGCACAGUAAGAUCUUGCUCUUACGGGUGGCGAGUGGCGGACGGGUGAGGCAUACAUCGGAAUCUACUUUUUCGUGGGGGAUAACGUAGGGAAACUUACGCUAAUACCGCAUACGACCUACGGGUGAAAGCAGGGGAUCUUCGGACCUUGCGCGAUUGAAUGAGCCGAUGUCGGAUUAGCUAGUUGGCGGGGUAAAGGCCCACCAAGGCGACGAUCCGUAGCUGGUCUGAGAGGAUGAUCAGCCACACUGGAACUGAGACACGGUCCAGACUCCUACGGGAGGCAGCAGUGGGGAAUAUUGGACAAUGGGCGCAAGCCUGAUCCAGCCAUACCGCGUGGGUGAAGAAGGCCUUCGGGUUGUAAAGCCCUUUUGUUAGGAAAGAAAAGCAGCAGGUUAAUACCCCGCUGUUCUGACGGUACCCAAAGAAUAAGCACCGGCUAACUUCGUG
rnacentral:rRNA from 1 species